rfam:Pseudomonas knackmussii B13 complete genome
UUCUCUGGCGGGCCGCAUAGGGAGACCUUCGGGUCUGCCGGUAGCUAGGUAGCCGGUUCGCCAACCCUGUGCGGUUCCGCCUCCCAU